AUUCUGCCCAAGCGGCGAAGGAUGAGAAGCUUCGACUAAGGUUCGACUCGAGCGCCAGCGAGAGAGCGUUGCCGCAGGCAACGACC
rnacentral:sRNA from 1 species